UUAAGCUUCUAAAAUCAUUACAGCUGAUCGUCAUCAUUUAUCCAUUUCGAUAAUUGGCUCUCUUCUGGGGCAAAACUUGAGAAGAGGGACAUCUGGAGAGAGAACAGUUACUAGAUUAACUUGGUGGGGAUUCUAUGCUUUACAACUUGCAACUACAACUUUUGCUGAUCGUCUCCAUUUGUCCAUUUCAAUAAUUGCCUCUCUUCUGGGGCAAAACUUGGGAAGAGAGACAUCUGGAGAGAAAACAGUUGCUAGAUUAACUUGGUGGGGAUUCUAUGCCUGACAACUUGCAACAACUACUUUUGAUUGUUCUCUUUUUGCUGGUUGAUAGUAGCUUCAUGAUUACAAUUUUUUCUCUCUUGACUUUUUCUUGAUUAAGCUUCUAAAAUCAUUACAGCUGAUCGUCUCCAUUUAUCCUAAAACGACAAGUGUAUGAAGCAGAUAUUAAGGAGUGACGGGUUGAAUUUGAACUUUUAUAA